rnacentral:rRNA from 1 species
UACGUAGGUGGCAAGCGUUGUCCGGAUUUACUGGGCGUAAAGGAUGCGUAGGCGGACAUUUAAGUCAGAUGUGAAAUACCCGAGCUUAACUUGGGUGCUGCAUUUGAGACUGGGUGUCUAGAGUGCAGGAGAGGUAAGUGGAAUUCCUAGUGUAGCGGUGAAAUGCGUAGAGAUUAGGAAGAGCACCAGUGGCGAAGGCGACUUACUGGACUGUAACUGACGCUGAGGCAUGAAAGCGUGGGGAGCAAACAGG